rnacentral:lncRNA from 1 species
GAGAAGUGGUCGAUGCCAAUUUUGGGCAACAUCCUUUCGUGUUUGAUAUAGAAGACUAUAUGCGGGAGUGGAGAACCAAAAUCCAGGCACAGAUAGAUCGAUUUCCUAUCGGAGAUCGAGAAGGAGAAUGGCAGACCAUGAUACAAAAAAUGGUUUCAUCUUAUUUAGUCCACCAUGGGUACUGUGCCACAGCAGAGGCCUUUGCCAGAUCUACAGACCAGACCGUUCUAGAAGAAUUAGCUUCCAUUAAGAAUAGACAAAGAAUUCAGAAAUUGGUAUUAGCAGGAAGAAUGGGAGAAGCCAUUGAAACAACACAACAGUUAUACCCAAGUUUACUUGAAAGAAAUCCUAAUCUCCUUUUCACAUUAAAAGUGCGUCAGUUUAUAGAAAUGGUGAAUGGUACAGAUAGUGAAGUACGAUGUUUGGGAGGCCGAAGUCCAAAGUCUCAAGACAGUUAUCCUGUUAGUCCUCGACCUUUUAGUAGUCCAAGUAUGAGCCCCAGCCAUGGAAUGAAUAUCCACAAUUUAGCAUCAGGCAAAGGAAGCACCGCACAUUUUUCAGGUUUUGAAAGUUGUAGUAAUGGUGUAAUAUCAAAUAAAGCACAUCAAUCAUAUUGCCAUAGUAAUAAACACCAGUCAUCCAACUUGAAUGUACCAGAACUAAACAGUAUAAAUAUGUCAAGAUCACAGCAAGUUAAUAACUUCACCAGUAAUGAUGUAGACAUGGAAACAGAUCACUACUCCAAUGGAGUUGGAGAAACUUCAUCCAAUGGUUUCCUAAAUGGUAGCUCUAAACAUGACCACGAAAUGGAAGAUUGUGACACCGAAAUGGAAGUUGAUUCAAGUCAGUUGAGACGCCAGUUGUGUGGAGGAAGUCAGGCCGCCAUAGAAAGAAUGAUCCACUUUGGACGAGAGCUGCAAGCAAUGAGUGAACAGCUAAGGAGAGACUGUGGCAAGAACACUG